rnacentral:rRNA from 1 species
UACGAAGGGGGCUAGCGUUGUUCGGCGUUACUGGGCGUAAAGCGCACGUGGGCGGAUUUGUAAGUCAGGGGUGAAAUCCCGGGGCUCAACCUCGGAACUGCCUUUGAUACUGCAAGUCUUGAGACCGGAAGAGGUGAGUGGAAUUCCUAGUGUAGAGGUGAAAUUCGUAGAUAUUAGGAAGAACACCAGUGGCGAAGGCGGCUCACUGGUCCGGUUCUGACGCUGAGGUGCGAAAGCGUGGGGAGCAAACAGG